rnacentral:pre_miRNA from 1 species
UUUCUACUCCCUCUGUUCGAAAAUACUUGUCAUCAAAAUGGAUAAAAAUAGAUGUAUCUAAAACUAAAAUACGUCUAGAUACAUUUCCUUUUAUCCAUUUUGAUGACAAGUAUUUCCGGACGGAGGGAGUAUUUG